rnacentral:rRNA from 1 species
CAGCCGCCACGGUAAUACGUAGGUGGCAAGCGUUGCCCGGAAUUAUUGGGCGUGAAGGGCUCGCAGGCGGUUUCUUAAGUCUGAUGUGAAAGCCCCCGGCUCAACCGGGGAGGGUCAUUGGAAACUGGGAAACUUGAGUGCAGAAGAGGAGAGUGGAAUUCCACGUGUAGCGGUGAAAUGCGUAGAGAUGUGGAGGAACACCAGUGGCGAAGGCGACUCUCUGGUCUGUAACUGACGCUGAGGAGCGAAAGCGUGGGGAGCGAACAGGAUUAGAUACCCCAGUAGUCCCUGUCUCUUAUAA